rnacentral:rRNA from 1 species
CAUCCCGGCUUACCAACCCGAUGCAAACUGCGAAUACCGGAGAAUGUUAUCACGGGAGACACACGGCGGGUGCUAACGUCCGUCGUGAAGAGGGAAACAACCCAGACCGCCAGCUAAGGUCCCAAAGUCAUGGUUAAGUGGGAAACGAUGUGGGAAGGCCCAGACAGCCAGGAUGUUGGCUUAGAAGCAGCCAUCAUUUAAAGAAAGCGUAAUAGCUCACUGGUCGAGUCGGCCUGCGCGGAAGAUGUAACGGGGCUAAACCAUGCACCGAAGCUGCGGCAGCGACGCUGAUGCGUUGUUGGGUAGGGGAGCGUUCUGUAAGCCUGUGAAGGUGGCCUGUGAGGGUUGCUGGAGGUAUCAGAAGUGCGAAUGCUGACAUAAGUAACGAUAA